rnacentral:rRNA from 1 species
AGACCCGAAACCCGGUGAUCUAGCCAUGGGCAGGUUGAAGGUUGGGUAACACUAACUGGAGGACCGAACCGACUAAUGUUGAAAAAUUAGCGGAUGACUUGUGGCUGGGGGUGAAAGGCCAAUCAAACCGGGAGAUAGCUGGUUCUCCCCGAAAGCUAUUUAGGUAGCGCCUCGUGAAUUCAUCUCCGGGGGUAGAGCACUGUUUCGGCAAGGGGGUCAUCCCGACUUACCAACCCGAUGCAAACUGCGAAUACCGGAGAAUGUUAUCACGGGAGACACACGGCGGGUGCUAACGUCCGUCGUGAAGAGGGAAACAACCCAGACCGCCAGCUAAGGUCCCAAAGUCAUGGUUAAGUGGGAAACGAUGUGGGAAGGCCCAGACAGCCAGGAUGUUGGCUUAGAAGCAGCCAUCAUUUAAAGAAAGCGUAAUAGCUCACUGGUCGAGUCGGCCUGCGCGGAAGAUGUAACGGGGCUAAACCAUGCACCGAAGCUGCGGCAGCGACACUGUGUGUUGUUGGGUAGGGGAGCGUUCUGUAAGCCUGUGAAGGUGUGCUGUGAGGCAUGCUGGAGGUAUCAGAAGUGCGAAUGCUGACAUAAGUAACGAUAAAGCGGGUGAAAAGCCCGCUCGCCGGAAGACCAAGGGUUCCUGUCCAACGUUAAUCGGGGCAGGGUGAGUCGACCCCUAAGGCGAGGCCGAAAGGCGUAGUCGAUGGGAAACAGGUUAAUAUUCCUGUACUUGGUGUUACUGCGAAGGGGGGACGGAGAAGGCUAUGUUGGCCGGGCGACGGUUGUCCCGGUUUAAGCGUGUAGGCUGGUUUUCCAGGCAAAUCCGGAAAAUCAAGGCUGAGGCGUGAUGACGAGGCACUACGGUGCUGAAGCAACAAAUGCCCUGCUUCCAGGAAAAGCCUCUAAGCAUCAGGUAACAUCAAAUCGUACCCCAAACCGACACAGGUGGUCAGGUAGAGAAUACCAAGGCGCUUGAGAGAACUCGGGUGAAGGAACUAGGCAAAAUGGUGCCGUAACUUCGGGAGAAGGCACGCUGAUAUGUAGGUGAAGUCCCUCGCGGAUGGAGCUGAAAUCAGUCGAAGAUACCAGCUGGCUGCAACUGUUUAUUAAAAACACAGCACUGUGCAAACACGAAAGUGGACGUAUACGGUGUGACGCCUGCCCGGUGCCGGAAGGUUAAUUGAUGGGGUCAGCGCAAGCGAAGCUCUUGAUCGAAGCCCCGGUAAACGGCGGCCGUAACUAUAACGGUCCUAAGGUAGCGAAAUUCCUUGUCGGGUAAGUUCCGACCUGCACGAAUGGCGUAAUGAUGGCCAGGCUGUCUCCACCCGAGACUCAGUGAAAUUGAACUCGCUGUGAAGAUGCAGUGUACCCGCGGCAAGACGGAAAGACCCCGUGAACCUUUACUAUAGCUUGACACUGAACAUUGAGCCUUGAUGUGUAGGAUAGGUGGGAGGCUUUGAAGUGUGGACGCCAGUCUGCAUGGAGCCGACCUUGAAAUACCACCCUUUAAUGUUUGAUGUUCUAACGUGGACCCGUGAUCCGGGUUGCGGACAGUGUCUGGUGGGUAGUUUGACUGGGGCGGUCUCCUCCUAAAGAGUAACGGAGGAGCACGAAGGUUGGCUAAUCCUGGUCGGACAUCAGGAGGUUAGUGCAAUGGCAUAAGCCAGCUUGACUGCGAGCGUGACGGCGCGAGCAGGUGCGAAAGCAGGUCAUAGUGAUCCGGUGGUUCUGAAUGGAAGGGCCAUCGCUCAACGGAUAAAAGGUACUCCGGGGAUAACAGGCUGAUACCGCCCAAGAGUUCAUAUCGACGGCGGUGUUUGGCACCUCGAUGUCGGCUCAUCACAUCCUGGGGCUGAAGUAGGUCCCAAGGGUAUGGCUGUUCGCCAUUUAAAGUGGUACGCGAGCUGGGUUUAGAACGUCGUGAGACAGUUCGGUCCCUAUCUGCCGUGGGCGCUGGAGAACUGAGGGGGGCUGCUCCUAGUACGAGAGGACCGGAGUGGACGCAUCACUGGUGUU